GACGAAGGAUUCAAGCGUUGUCCGGAUUUACUGGGCUUAAAGGGUGCGUAGGCGGCAAUAUAAGUCAGUGGUGAAAUCCCGCAGCUCAACUGCGGAACUGCCAUUGAAACUGCAUUUCUUGAAUACGGUUGAGGUAGAUGGAAUGUAACAUGUAGCGGUGAAAUGCUUAGAUAUGUUACAGAACUCCGAUUGCGAAGGCAGUCUACUAAGCCGUUAUUGACGCUGAGGCACGAAAGCGUGGGGAGCAAACAGG
rnacentral:rRNA from 1 species